GAUGAAGAACGUAGCGAAAUGCGAUAAGUAAUGCGAAUUGCAGAAUUUCCGUGAAUCAUCGAAUCUUUGAACGCACAUUGCGCCCCUUGGUAUUCCGAGGGGCAUGCCUAUUCGAGCGUCAUUAUCACCCCUCAAGCCUAGCUUGGUGUUGAGACCUGCUGUCAAGGCAGUCUCUAAAAUCAGUGGCAGUGCUGUCAGGCUCUAAGCGUAGUAAAUCUAAUCGCUAUAGACACCUGGUGGACACUCGCCAGAACCCCCCCAUUUUUUAAUGAUUGACCUCGGAUUAGGUAGGGAUACCCGCUGAACUUAAGCAUAUCAAUAAGCGGAGGA
rnacentral:misc_RNA from 1 species